rnacentral:rRNA from 4 species
UUAAGUGACGAUAGCCUAGGAGAUACACCUGUUCCCAUGCCGAACACAGAAGUUAAGCCCUAGUACGCCUGAUGUAGUUGGGGGUUGCCCCCUGUUAGAUAUGGUAGUCGCUUAGC